AUAGUACUCCUUUUGUUCGAAAUUAUUUGUCGCAUAAAUGUAUAAAAAUGAGUGUAUCUAGAGCUAAAAUACAUCUAGAUACAUCCAUUUUUAUGAUAAGUAUUUACGGACGAAGAAAGUAUUUU
rfam:Hordeum vulgare subsp. vulgare, WGS project CAJW01000000 data, contig: morex_contig_41847